UACGAAGGUCCCGAGCGUUGUUCGGAAUCACUGGGCGUAAAGGGCGCGUAGGCGGCAUUGUAAGUCAGAUGUGAAAUCCCGGGGCUCAACCCCGGAACUGCAUCCGAUACUGCCUUGCUUGAGGGUUGGAGAGGUAGCUGGAAUUAUCGGUGUAGCAGUGAAAUGCGUGGAUAUCGAUAGGAACACUCGUGGCGAAGGCGAGCUACUGGACAACAUCUGACGCUGAGGCGCGAAGGCUAGGGGAGCAAAAGGG
rnacentral:rRNA from 1 species